UACGGAGGGAGCUAGCGUUGUUCGGAAAUACUGGGCGUAAAGCGCACGUAGGCGGCUCGGCAAGUCGGAUGUGAAAUCCCUCGGCUCAACCAAGGAAGUGCAUCCGAAACUGCGGAGCUUGAGUACUUAAGAGGAUCGCGGAAUUCCCGGUGUAGAGGUGAAAUGCGUAGAGAUCUGGAGGAACACCGAUGGCGAAGGCGGCGCUCUGGGCCGGAACUGACGCUGAGGAGCGAAAGCGUGGGUAGCAAACAGG
rnacentral:rRNA from 1 species